GCUCGUUCUCCGACCACAGGCUCGGACUGGUAAUCCUUUCAACGGCUCAGAUUUCAUUUCAUAUCCAUUCGUUUCCUGCACUCUCCAUCAAAACCUCAUAGUAGAAAAAAAUGAAAUCUUCUCAGUAGCAGCAAAGCUUCUUCUAUCGUAUAGGCACACAAAUUCUCUUGUUUUUCGCGGCGAAGAUCUAUGGCGGAGCAUGCAGCCCAGCCCGAAUCAGCCGUUGAAUCGCUGAUGGAUAAGAUCACCGACAAGACCCACAGUCACGAUUCUUCUUCAUCUUCCUCCGAUUCCGAUGACGACAAGCCCUCGAAGGUCGAUGCCGCCAAAUCGAAGAUAUUUCGUCCCUUUGGUAGGGAGAAACCCGUCCACAAAGUCUUAGGCGGUGGAAAACCUGCUGAUGUUCUUCUAUGGAGGAACAAGAAGACCUCUGCAGGUAUUCUUGGCGGGGCAACCACAGUCUGGUUUCUCUUCGAAUUGCUUGAAUAUCACUUAAUCACCCUAGUUUGUCAUGUGUCAAUACUCUCUCUUGCUAUCCUUUUCCUGUGGUCCAAUGCAUCCACCUUUAUUAACAAGUCCCCACCUGACAUCAUUGAAAUUUUGCUUCCUGAAAAAUGUGUCCUUGAAGUUGCCUCUGCCUUAAGAAUUGAAAUUAAUCGAGCACUGGCUGUCUUACAUGAUAUUGCAGCUGGAAGAGAUGUGAAGAAAUUUCUUACAGUAAUUGCUGGCCUCUGGAUUCUUUCGAUUAUUGGAAGUUGGUGCAACUUCUUGACCUUGUUCUACAUAGCCUUUGUUCUGCUGCACUCUGUGCCGGUGUCUUACGAGAAAUAUGAGAACCAGGUUGAUUCAUUUUCGGAGAAGGCAUGGAUUGAGAUCAAGCAGCAGUAUGCAGUGUUUGAAGCUAAGGUUUUGAGUAAAAUUCCAAAGGGGCCAUUGAAGGAAAAGAAGAAGGAUUAAAGAGUAAAGACGCCCGAUUUAGCGUCGGCUAGGCUCCUAUAGAGACUCCCACUUGUGCCAAGUGUUGUUCAAGGUGUUAGUGUGACAAAUAUAUUUAAGAAAAUCUCCUACAUUUCUGCUUCUGGGUGUCUGGGCGCCCAUCGAUAAUUAAAUUUAAAAUGAAAACUUUAUCUAAUCAGGCACUUUCACG
rnacentral:misc_RNA from 1 species